rnacentral:lncRNA from 1 species
CGUUCCUACCAAAAAUCUUAUAUUUGUAUUUCCCGCUCAAAACUUUUUUUACCGGAAUCCUCGGGUUUUAUCUUUACGUAUAAGGUCCAGUCCGUUUGGCAUCACCUGAGCGUUUGACAUGAACACUUGCAUUUGAAGUUUCAAAGCAUUUGUUUGAAAUCGAUGUUGAACGCUUUCUGAAAUCAUGAUAUGAAGUACGUUACUCUGUACCUUUAAACUUAAAUUCAUUUACAAAAAAGUUCGUUUGAUACAAAAGUAUUAACGUGUGUACAAACUAAUUUGUAAACGGACGUUGUAUUCUAUGUAGGGAUGGCCUUUUGUUAUCCGCAUAUCAGAAUGAUUAUGUUAACGAUGCCGCUAAAUUUAUAUUUAUAUCUGACAUGAACCAAAAGUGACAAAACCCUGUAAAGUUGAGAAUAUCUGGCAGUAAAAUCGCCAAGUUUUCCAUACAGAUCAUUUAUAAAUGUGAUGCAAAAUACGUGACAAUUGAGUUUUAAG